UAAAAUUUUAGCGGCGGACGGGUGAGUAACACGUGGGUAACCUACCUUAUAGAUCGGGAUAACUCCGGGAAACCGGGGCUAAUACCGAAUAAUACUUUUUAACACAUGUUUGAAAGUUGAAAGACGGUCUUGCUGUCACUAUAAGAUGGACCCGCGGCGCAUUAGCUAGUUGGUGAGGUAACGGCUCACCAAGGCAACGAUGCGUAGCCGACCUGAGAGGGUGAUCGGCCACACUGGGACUGAGACACGGCCCAGACUCCUACGGGAGGCAGCAGUAGGGAAUCUUCCACAAUGGACGAAAGUCUGAUGGAGCAACGCCGCGUGAGUGAAGAAGGAUUUCGGUUCGUAAAACUCUGUUGCAAGGGAAGAACAAGUAGCGUAGUAACUGGCGCUACCUUGACGGUACCUUGUUAGAAAGCCACGGCUAACUACGUGCCAGCAGCCGCGGUAAUACGUAGGUGGCAAGCGUUGUCCGGAAUUAUUGGGCGUAAAGCGCGCGCAGGUGGUUCCUUAAGUCUGAUGUGAAAGCCCCCGGCUCAACCGGGGAGGGUCAUUGGAAACUGGGGAACUUGAGUGCAGAAGAGGAUAGUGGAAUUCCAAGUGUAGCGGUGAAAUGCGUA
rnacentral:rRNA from 1 species